rnacentral:rRNA from 1 species
ACACUCCUACGGGAGGCAGCAGUGGGGAAUAUUGGACAAUGGGCGCAAGCCUGAUCCAGCCAUGCCGCGUGAGUGAUGAAGGCCCUAGGGUUGUAAAGCUCUUUCACCGGUGAAGAUAAUGACGGUAACCGGAGAAGAAGCCCCGGCUAACUUCGUGCCAGCAGCCGCGGUAAUACGAAGGGGGCUAGCGUUGUUCGGAUUUACUGGGCGUAAAGCGCACGUAGGCGGACUAUUAAGUCAGGGGUGAAAUCACGGGGCUCAACCCCGGAACUGCCUUUGAUACUGGUAGUCUUGAGUUCGAGAGAGGUGAGUGGAAUUCCGAGUGUAGAGGUGAAAUUCGUAGAUAUUCGGAGGAACACCAGUGGCGAAGGCGGCUCACUGGCUCGAUACUGACGCUGAGGUGCGAAAGCGUGGGGAGCAAACAGGAUUAGAAACCCGGGUAGUCCCA